CCCCUAGACGUUCUGGGCUGCACGCGCGCUACAAUAAUACGCACAGCGAGUAUCACCGAGCUCGAAAGGGCAAGGUAAACAAUAGAAAAGGUACUGUAAUGGUUAUAGAUCCUUGUAAUUAUUGAUCUUCAACGAGGAAUUCCUAGUAAGUAUGUGUCAUCAUCACGCACUGAUUACGUCCCUGCCCUUUGUACACACCGCCCGCCGCCCCUACCGAUUGGGUGAGCCGAUGAAACUCUCGGAUGUAGGCUAUUCAUAGCCCGCAGAAGAGAUUUGAAUCGUAGCGCUUAGAGGAAGGAGAAGUCGUAACA
rnacentral:rRNA from 1 species